rnacentral:lncRNA from 1 species
CCUGAUCCCGCUGGCCCCGAGCGAGGCUCCACAGGCCGGCACACAGGUCCGAUGUGGUACGGUGGAAGCAGGAAGUGGCCACCGAAGUUGUGACCAACAAAGUUUUAAAUGGGGCGAGGAACUUCCCUUUUCAUCCUUCCAGCCGCUGGCUCUGGAGGCUGGGCUGGAACACCCAGUGGCCUCCACUUUGGGUGGCAGGUACCUCCUCCAGGCCUGCCUCCCUCGGGGCUGAAGCUUGAAAGCCCCAGAGCAGCACCAGGCCCAUACCCAGAGACAUAGGCGGGGACCCUCAGAGGGGCCACCUGGUGCACACGCUCCUGUAUGUGUGACCUGGGAGGGGGAUAUGGCUUCCUCCACCAAGCCGGCCAUAUGCAGAAUCCAAACAAAACCCGGGCUCCCGAGUUCCGGACAGGCACACGGUGCAGCCAGCGCGGGGAGAGCUCGGCAGGCCGCAGCGGCUCGGACGCGCGGGGGCGGGCAGGCUGACAGGUCCGAGGCGCGCCAGCACUCCGGGUGCGCGGGGUGAGGCCGGCCCGUUCGCCCUAAAUGCUCCAGCUUAGGCCUCUCCUGCACUUGCCCCAGUUCCCUGCCACUCCUGCACCUCUGUCCCCCAAACUCCCAGGGCGGACACAGUUUCCGUGUCCACUGUGCCGUGCACACUGGAAAGAAAAGGGGAAGGGGCUCCCAUGCCAAGUUCCUGCAUUUCGGGAGCCCCUCCUCGAGUCUCCGGGCCUGGACUCAGUCACGCAAGCCGGUCGCUGCGGACACCACGCUUCGCUCAAACGGAGGAAGAGCAGCCGUAUUCCCGAGCCGCCGCCACCGCGGGCCUGGCUGGUUGGGAGGGUUUUCCUGCCGGGGCCGCGCCCGGGUGGGCGGGGGCCGCGCGCGAGCUGCGUAGUUGCACAAACACGGCGGGCUGGCGCUGCACACGCAGCUGCGGGCUGGGGUCGCGGGCCGCGGCGGGGCGGAUUGCGGGGCGGCAAACUCACGCAAACCCGCACACACUCCCCCAGCCGCCCAGGCCGCAGAAGUUGCCGCGCGGCGCCCCCAGCCGCCCAGCGCCCCCGCUCCGGGCCGCGCCUGCAAAGCUGCAGCCCGCGCGCCGAGCCGCCACCGCUUGCGCGCAGUCCGGGGUCCCCUGGCCGCCGCCGCCACAGCGGGCUGCGCCUCGCCGCGUGCAGGCCUCGGCCGCCGACCAGGCAGCCCCACUUACCCCGCUCCUGCCCGAGCUCUGGCAUCGGCUGUCCCCCUUCCGCUGUGGGCCGCCGCCUUCAGUCGCCUCCCAGACUCCAGCCGCCUGCACGCACUCCUCGAUUUUAAAAACAAACAGGCGCCGCCGCCGCCUCCCCGCGGCGCUCGCAAUGCUUCCGCCAGCCUGCGCCUCCCGAGGCUGGGAAGUUUGCUGGCAGGGCCCGGGAGGGACGCGCGGGCUGUCACCCCUCACUCGCGGUGCAGGAGCCUCGGCGCACCCCGCGCCAGUGGUGUCCGCCUCGCGAUCGCUCUCCCUCCCUUCGUGUCACCCCCAGUCCUGCGAUGCAGUGUCAGGAUUGCACUGCUCUGACUCAUCGGUUGAGCUCACAGCUUGAAAAAAAAAGAGGGAGAGAGAGAGAGGGCGAGAGGCAACAGCGAAGGAGGAGGACUCUGGCGUGCUACAAAGGAUUGCACAACUCGGGGCUGGGAGCGCGGAGCACCCAGUGGCGGGCCGGCGCGCGCGGCACGGCGGCGAGCAGAAACCAGCUCUACCACUUCAUCAGCACAACUGUCUCGGGUCGGCCUCUCCGCCAGCAGGCCCGGCGCCGCCCACUUCCUGCGACCAAAUAAGGCCGGGGAAGGCGUCUUUAAACCUCCGGCGGCUGCCCGGGCUGGGGAUUUCCAGUAGACCUCACCUCCACUCCUUGAGGCGGUCGCCACCCUCCCCCAGCCCAGGCCGGCGCCCCCGAUGGCCUUGCUGGAACCAACAGGCCACGCGGCUCGUUCCUUUCACACCAAGGUCAGGAAGAGACGGUGACGAAAUGUUUGGAAACCCAUCGUGCCUGCCAGGAAAGUGUGUGUGUGAUGUUGGGGAGGACACAAGUCGCUUUCUUCCAUAAAGAAAACUCUGGUUUUGGAUACGAUGGGUCAAAGAGAUUUUCCUUUGACGGAAAAACCCCAGAAGAAUACAGUGUGUCCUGGCAGCCCCUUUCCUGCUGUGGCCAGUCCUGAGAAGCAGGUGCAUCCCCUGCUUUCUUAGGGAGAAGGGGAGGGGCAGCAGAAGGUGAUUCUCCCAGCUCUCUGAGCCUUCAGGGCAAGGACCGCUGCCCCUGGGGAGUGGAUGAGAGAGACCACCUCAAAACCUCGGAAAACUCACCCUUGCUCCUAAGGGGCAUGACCUUCCUGUUCCCUUCCACCCGGAGCACCUGUGUGCAUCUGGAGGUCACACUUCACCCAGG